CAUGCGUAUGCCGAGCUGCAUCGAGCUCAGAGACAGACUGAAGAGCAAACAUGCCGGGCUGCUGAGCGGACGCUGUGCACUGAUGACACAAUCGACACAUCUUCAGGCAUCUGUUUUAACUUUGCAGACAGGCUUCUUCCAUCAAACAGAGGAGACUGACAAACACCAGACAGGAAACAAUUCAUACAUGAGACCUCCAUUAUGACCUGAAAGUCUGGUGGUUUUGAGAGCAGAGAAACGGAGCCACACAACAGCAGCGCUUCAUUUCUUUUAAAGCGAAAAGCGAUUUUCUUGGACGGCCAGUGCUUGGUUCCUCUUUACCUCCCUAAGCUUGCUCCGAAGGGUGUUUUCUCUCUUUUUUUUUCUUUUUUUUUUUGCGAAAGUGUUCUGUGUAAAUAUUUGCAGGCCAUGUUUGGGAGCUGUGAGAGACGGAGGACACUGGGCGAGUUUGAGCUGUGACCUUUCGGUUUGAUGGUGAAAGGACCAACUUUUUGAUUUCUGUCAGCAUAUCAGUCAAGUCGACGCUGCUGUGCUAACUAUCUGAAACUUUGUGGUGGACCUUCAUUUUCCUUCUCAGCAGUUUAUUAUUUCCUGCCUUUAAGAGAGAAAGAGAGAGAGA